rnacentral:misc_RNA from 1 species
GGACAAUGUGUCUAAUGUUCCAACUGAUACACCAUAAACUUAGAUGAUUUUCAAGCACUACCAGACAUAUUAAGCUUUGUUUUCUUGAAAACUACAGGCUCAAAUUCUUUGAACAGACUCCUACAUUUUGUACAAAUGAUAAAGCUCCAGUGCAGUUGCAAAAGUUCCAUAACCUUGAUUUGCACAGAAGUACCUAUACGACUGCACUGCUUUCGGGUUUGUUAUUUUUCGCCAUUAGUUUUCUGAAACUCAUCAUCUUAUUCAAUGCACCAACAUAGGCUCGGACACUGGAGAUGACAAUAUCCAUAUCUGCUCCGGUUCCACUAAAUGUACGGUGAAUAGUCUCUCCAGUUACGGCAUGGGUUGAUGUAUGGCCAUUUUCUCCACGAAUUAAGACUCUGGUUGAAGCUAUAGCAUCUAUACCUUGUGUGACUGCAUUCAUGGAAUACUCAAGGAGUGUUACAGGUACCUUAACAAUGAGAUCAACUGCCUUAUAAGCCGCGUCAACUGGCCCCGUUCCAACAGAACAAGAAAUAUGCUCUCGACCAUCAGCAUCAAUGAGCUUAACAGUUGCUGUAGAAAGGCCAAGACUUCCAGAAGUAACCUGUACAUUUUGAAGUUGCCACACAAAUUGAGGCUGGAAAACCUCAUCUGACAUCAGUGCUACCAGGUCAUCAUCUGUAAUUUUCUUUUUCUUCUCAGCCACAGAUUUGAAUCGCCAGAACAGGUCAUCAAGUUCUUUGCCCUCAAUCUCGUAUCCAAGCUCAAGCAUUUUGGCUUGCAAAGCAUGACGCCCACUGAGUUUCCCAAGGACAAUACCAGAUUCAUUAGC